CUACGCACUCCUACGGGAGGCAGCAGUGGGGAAUAAUGCACAAUGGGCGCAAGCCUGAUGCAGCCAUGCCGCGUGUAUGAAGAAGGCCUUCGGGUUGUAAAGUACUUUCAGCAGUGAGGAAGGUGGGUAUGUUAAUAGCAUACUCAUUUGACGUUAGCUGCAGAAGAAGCACCGGCUAACUCCGUGCCAGCAGCCGCGGUAAUACGGAGGGUGCGAGCGUUAAUCGGAAUUACUGGGCGUAAAGCGCAUGCAGGUGGUUUGUUAAGUCAGAUGUGAAAGCCCGGGGCUCAACCUCGGAAUUGCAUUUGAAACUGGCAAACUAGAGUACUGUAGAGGGGGUAGAAUUUCAGGUGUAGCGGUGAAAUGCGUAGAGAUCUGAAGGAAUACCGGUGGCGAAGGCGGCCCCCUGGGCAGAUACUGACACUCAGAUGCGAAAGCGUGGGGAGCAAACAGGAUUAGAUACCCUGGUAG
rnacentral:rRNA from 1 species